ACUUCGGUUCCGAAGUUAGCGGCGGACGGGUGAGUAACGCGUGAACAAUCUGUCCCAGACAGGGGGAUAACACAUCGAAAGGUGUGCUAAUACCGCAUAAGACCACGGUGCCGCAUGGCACAGGGGUAAAAGAACGGAAUCGGUUUGGGGUGAGUUCGCGUCUGAUUAGCUAGUUGGUGAGGUAACGGCCCACCAAGGCGACGAUCAGUAGCCGAUCUGAGAGGAUGACCGGCCACAUUGGAACUGAGAGACGGUCCAAACUCCUACGGGAGGCAGCAGUGGGGAAUAUUGGGCAAUGGGCGCAAGCCUGACCCAGCAACGCCGCGUGAGGGAAGAAGGUUUUCGGAUUGUAAACCUCUGUCCUAAGGGAAGAAAGGAAUGACGGUACCUUAGGAGGAAGCCCCGGCUAACUACGUGCCAGCAGCCGCGGUAAUACGUAGGGGGCGAGCGUUGUCCGGAAUGACUGGGCGUAAAGGGCGUGUAGGCGGCCUGUUAAGUUAGGAGUGAAAGUCCAGCUUUCAAGGUUGGAAUUGCUUUUAAUACUGAUGGGCUUGAGUGCAGAAGAGGUAAGUGGAAUUCCCAGUGUAGCGGUGAAAUGCGUAGAGAUUGGGAGGAACACCAGUGGCGAAGGCGACUUACUGGGCUGUAACUGACGCUGAGGCGCGAAAGCGUGGGGAGCGAACAGGAUUAGAUACCCUGGUAGUCCACGCGGUAAACGAUGAAUGCUAGGUGUAGGGGGUAUCGACCCCUCCUG
rnacentral:rRNA from 1 species